rnacentral:rRNA from 1 species
UACGUAGGGGGCAAGCGUUGUCCGGAAUCAUUGGGCGUAAAGAGCGUGUAGGCGGCUUCGUCAGUCCGUUGUGAAAGUCCAGGGCUCAACCCUGGAAUGCCGAUGGAUACUGCGGAGCUAGAGUCCGGAAGAGGCGACUGGAAUUCCUGGUGUAGCGGUGAAAUGCGCAGAUAUCAGGAGGAACACCGAUGGCGAAGGCAGGUCUCUGGGCCACUACUGACGCUGAGAAGCGAAAGCAUGGGGAGCGAACAGG